rnacentral:rRNA from 1 species
AGUGAACGCUGGCGAUAGGCCUAACACAUGCAAGCCGAACGGCAGCACAGUAAGAGUUUGCUCUUACGGGUGGCGAGUGGCGGACGGGUGAGGAAUACAUCGGAAUCUACUUUUUCGUGGGGGAUAACGUAGGGAAACUUACGCUAAUACCGCAUACGACCUACGGGUGAAAGCAGGGGAUCUUCGGACCUUGCGCGAUUGAAUGAGCCGAUGUCGGAUUAGCUAGUUGGCGGGGUAAAGGCCCACCAAGGCGACGAUCCGUAGCUGGUCUGAGAGGAUGAUCAGCCACACUGGAACUGAGACACGGUCCAGACUCCUACGGGAGGCAGCAGUGGGGAAUAUUGGACAAUGGGCGCAAGCCUGAUCCAGCCAUACCGCGUGGGUGAAGAAGGCCUUCGGGUUGUAAAGCCCUUUUGUUGGGAAAGAAAAGCAGCAGGUUAAUACCCCGCUGUUCUGACGGUACCCAAAGAAUAAGCACCGGCUAACUUCGU